AGUUUUGCAGGAUUGCAUUCCAGCUUAUUUCAAACGCUGUGCAAAUCCAUGCAAAACUGA
rnacentral:pre_miRNA from 1 species